rnacentral:lncRNA from 1 species
GUGUGUGUGUGUGUGUAGUGUGUGUGUAGUGUGUGUGUGUGUAGUGUGUGUGUAGUGUGUGUGUAGUGUGUGUGUGUGUAGUGUGUGUGUGUAGUGUGUGUGUAGUGUGUGUGUAGUGUGUGUGUGUAGUGUGUGUGUGUGUAGUGUGUGUGUGUAGUGUGUGUGUGUGUGUAGUGUGUGUGUGUAGUGUGUGUGUGUGUGUGUGUGUGUAGUGUGUGUGUGUGUGUGUAGUGUGUGUAGUGUGUGUGUAGUGUGUGUGUAGUGUGUGUGUAGUGUGUGUGUAGUGUGUGUGUGUGUAGUGUGUGUAGUGUGUGUGUGUGUAGUGUGUGUGUGUGUAGUGUGUGUGUAGUGUGUGUGUGUAGUGUGUGUGUGUAGUGUGUGUAGUGUGUGUGUGUUGUGUGUGUAGUGUGUGUGUGUAGUGUGUGUAGUGUGUGUGUAGUGUGUGUAGUGUGUGUGUAGUGUGUGUGUAGUGUGUGUGUGUGUGUGUGUGUGUUGUGUUGGUCGUUAAGAUGAAAGCAAGGACAGCAUGGACCCAGAACAUUUGAACUGUAAAAAAACAAAAAAAACACUUUUAUUCUGAAGAACCCAAUAAAAUUAUGGCAAAUAUUUACAAAUAUUGACUUUGUUUCUUCACCGUACAGUACAUAAAUCCAAGAUUCACAAAACACACACACACACACACACACACUCUGUUGGUCAGGAGGACAGAUGCACAUAUUACAAUCUGGCUUAAAUCCCACCCUAUUCCCUUUGUAGUGCACUACUUUUCAAUAGAAGUACACUGUUAUAAAAAGAGAUUUUAGGGUGUUAUUUAGGACCCUUACCAUAGACUGAUUGUGUAACAAUAGAUGCACCCAGCGAACUGCAAGUCAACAUUUCACAAGAACAAAUCAACCCCAUAAGAACUAAAAUAAUAUUAUAAUCAUUAUUAUUAACAAUAACAACAGUUAUAUAUAUAUAUAUAUAAAAACAAAAAUAAGCAUAAUAUCAAAGUCACUUAUUUAUUUAUUUCCAGUUUUACAGAACAAAAAAAAAAAUGUUGAAAACCAAAAUUCAAAAAAAGAGAGAAAUUCAGUGACGUGAUAUCUUUGGCAAAUUGGCAGAAAAAAUACAUUCAAAUAUUAAGACGCCACGAGACAGAGACAGAGAGGAGAAAAACACAGCAAGAUUUAGUUUUUUGACACUAGAAAAUUUGAAUUAAAAAAAAAACAUACACAUUUUUCUUUUAAAGAAGUAUUUUUCAUUUUUUUUUCAUUUUGACAUUGUUUUAAAUCGUCCCCUUCCACAAUAUUGAAGGUUUUGAAUAUUUUCUGUUAUUUUUGUAUUUUAAUUCUUAUUUUUUGGAUGUAACAAGUUUUGACAUUUUCCUCACACUGAUACAAGUGUAUCUUUAGUUUAAAACAGGCUUUUAGACUCAGGCUUUGGUGAUGGCUACAGAUAUGUUUUCAUUCUCAGCUCUGGAGGUAAUUCUCUCCUUUCAUUUAGACAAACAAACAAACAAAAAAAAGAUUUUUAAAACCAAAUUUAGCAAUUUUUUUUUUUUUUAAACAUUUCAUCAUCUUUCUGUUGUCUUUAAAAUGUGAAAAGGUUAAAAACGUGUUGACAGGAAGUUGUGGAACCGAGGACUUCUAGUGGUUCUAGAAUGUCCCUUCUAGUGGUUCUAGAAUGUCCCUUCUAGUGGUUCUAGAAUGUCCCUUCUAGUGGUUCU